GACGAACGCUGGCGGCGUGCCUAAUACAUGCAAGUCGAACGCACAGUUUAUACCGUAGCUUGCUGCACCAUAGACGGUGAGUUGCGAACGGGUGAGUAACGCGUAGGUAACCUGCCUGGUAGCGGGGGAUAACUAUUGGAAACGAUAGCUAAUACCGCAUCAUAUUGAUUAUUGCAUGAUAAUUGAUUGAAAGAUGCUAUUGCAUCACUACCAGAUGGACCUGCGUUGUAUUAGCUAGUAGGUGAGGUAACGGCCCACCUAGGCGACGAUACAUCCCCGGCCGGAGAUGGUGACCGGCCACACUGGGACUGAGACACGGCCCAGAACCCUCGGGGAGGCAGCCGUAGGGGAUCUUCGGCAAUGGACGACAGUCUGACCGAGCAACGCCGCGUGAGUGAAGAAGGCUUUCGGCUCGUAAAGCUCUGUUGUGAGAGAAGAACGGGUGUGAGAGUGGAAAGUUCACACUGUGACGGUAUCUUACCAGAAAGGGACGGCUAACUACGUG
rnacentral:rRNA from 1 species